GACGAACGCUGGCGGCGUGCUUAACACAUGCAAGUCGAACGGUGAAGCGCCUUCCUUUUUGGUGGGUGUGGAUGAGUGGCGAACGGGUGAGUAACACGUGAGUAACCUGCCCCCUUCUUCUGGAUAACCGCAUGAAAGUGUGGCUAAUACGGGAUAUUCUGGGUCUGUCGCAUGAUGGGUCUGGGAAAGAUAUUGUUUCGGUGGGGGAUGGGCUCGCGGCCUAUCAGCUUGUUGGUGGGGUGAUGGCCUACCAAGGCGGUGACGGGUAGCCGGCCUGAGAGGGUGGACGGUCACACUGGGACUGAGACACGGCCCAGACUCCUACGGGAGGCAGCAGUGGGGAAUAUUGCACAAUGGGCGCAAGCCUGAUGCAGCGACGCCGCGUGAGGGAUGGAUGCCUUCGGGUUGUGAACCUCUUUCGCCAGUGAAGCAGGCCUGCCUCGUUUGUGGGUGGGUUGACGGUAGCUGGAUAAGAAGCGCCGGCUAACUACGUG
rnacentral:rRNA from 1 species